AUUGAACGCUGGCGGCAGGCCUAACACAUGCAAGUCGAACGGUAACAGGAAGCAGCUUGCUGCUUUGCUGACGAGUGGCGGACGGGUGAGUAAUGUCUGGGAAACUGCCCGAUGGAGGGGGAUAACUACUGGAAACGGUAGCUAAUACCGCAUAACGUCGCAAGACCAAAGAGGGGGACCUUAGGGCCUCUUGCCAUCGGAUGUGCCCAGAUGGGAUUAGCUAGUAGGAGGGGUAACGGCUCACCUAGGCGACGAUCCCUAGCUGGUCUGAGAGGAUGACCAGCCACACUGGAACUGAGACACGGUCCAGACUCCUACGGGAGGCAGCAGUGGGGAAUAUUGCACAAUGGGCGCAAGCCUGAUGCAGCCAUGCCGCGUGUAUGAAGAAGGCCUUCGGGUUGUAAAGUACUUUCAGCGGGGAGGAAGGGAGUAAAGUUAAUACCUUUGCUCAUUGACGUUACCCGCAGAAGAAGCACCGGCUAACUCCGUG
rnacentral:rRNA from 1 species